AAAAACUUCUCGCAAAUAUUUCUCAAUCUUCAUUUAAACGGUAACUCAAAAAAUCUCUCUCGAUUACUUCAAAGAAUUGCCAAAAUAAACUAAGGCAUAUAUUGCAAUGAUAUUCAAUAUGAUGUUCCUCUUUCGAUUAAACAUUAUAAAGAAUAAAAUCGCAAUUCUAUUAAAGUUCCUCCAAUAAAUUCAAGCAAUUAAACAGUAAUCAAAUUCAUAAACAAUAACCAAGUCACAAAAUCAUAUUAAACCCUAAGGUCAACUACUCCAUAAUUAUAGAGGAAGUCAUCAUCAAUAUAAUUAAAAAGUGAGA
rnacentral:lncRNA from 1 species